rnacentral:snRNA from 1 species
AGCUGUGAGGGCAAUCUGGCUGUGACAUCUGUCACCCCAUUGACUGCCAGGGUUGAUUCGGCUGAUCUGGCUGGCUAGGUGGGUGUCCCUUUCCUCCCUCACUACUCCAUGUGCGUCUCUCCCAUGCUUGGUCGAAGAGGACGGCCUUCCCCAAAUAGAGAUGGACCCGUCUUUGGUAGAGGGUGUACGAGUAGCUGUGCUGCCCUGCUGAACCUCGAAACCCGAACAAUAAUAAAAUAAAAUCCAUGAACAGAGGCACUUUUUGUUU